rnacentral:rRNA from 1 species
CAGCCGCCGCGGGAAUACGUAGGGCGCAAGCGUUAUCCGGAAUUAUUGGGCGUAAAGAGCUCGUAGGCGGUUUGUCGCGUCUGCCGUGAAAGUCCGGGGCUCAACCCCGGAUCUGCGGUGGGUACGGGCAGACUAGAGUGAUGUAGGGGAGACUGGAAUUCCUGGUGUAGCGGUGAAAUGCGCAGAUAUCAGGAGGAACACCGAUGGCGAAGGCAGGUCUCUGGGCAUUAACUGACGCUGAGGAGCGAAAGCAUGGGGAGCGAACAGGAUUAGAUACCCCAGUAGUCCCUGUCUCUUAUAC